rnacentral:rRNA from 1 species
UACGUAGGGUGCGAGCGUUAAUCGGAAUUACUGGGCGUAAAGCGUGCGUAGGUGGUUCGUUGUGUCUGUGGUGAAAGCCCCGGGCUUAACCUGGGAAUGGCCAUGGAAACUGGCGAGCUGGAGUGUGGCAGAGGGGGUGGAAUUCCGCGUGUAGCAGUGAAAUGCGUAGAGAUGCGGAGGAACACCGAUGGCGAAGGCAGCCCCCUGGGCUAACACUGACGCUGAGGCACGAAAGCGUGGGGAGCAAACAGG